GUUAUUAAGACACUCCUGACAGAAGUCCUUGUGUAUUCCGCUAUGCAGGCUAUCUGUAGUGUACUUCUCCUUUAUGGAGCAAUUCAGGAAAAGUCCGGCAUGGUUCUUCCGUGGGUCGCUACGGAAAUCCUGGUGACCAUAGUAAUGGCUGUAAUAGGCAUUAUCGUAUACAACGGUGGUUUUUCGGAUAGUGCAAUCGCUGUUGUUCACCUUAAAGUAGGAGUAUUUGUUUGUAUCAUCAUCUAUGUGUUGUUCAACCUGUACUCUCUGGUAGUCGUGUGCAGCUACUACCGGACUCUCCGUGAGAAACCAGAUACUGUCAAGCUGAUAGCGUACAAAAUGAGGUCAUUACAGUCUCCAUGACUUACGUGAACCGCGUAGCUGGUGAAACUGCUCUUGACUCAGGCUUUUUCUUAUGAAUACAUCUGUGCAUACUGAAGGAAUCAAAGUUAUAAGGCAUCGUUAUUGGCUCUGACAGUGCAGGUAGCAUCGAGGUACAAUGUUUACUACGAAUAUUGUCUUCACUUAAGUAGCCACAUACCUCUGGCUCAACUUGCCGUUUCCAUUUUCAGGAACAGAGAAUUUCAUAAAUGUUUCCAGAGAUCAUUGAAGCGCACAAGAAUUCAUUUCGGACUGUUUUCCAUAAAACUUUGUAUAUAUAUAAGCCUCAAGUGUUGCACCUAACGAAGCAUAUUUCACUAUGUGCUCUUCACUGUGCUCUGACAACAUACGAGGUGCAUUCAAGUUCUAAGGCCUCCGAUUUUUUUUCUAAUUAACUACUCACCCGAAAUCGAUGAAACUGGCGUUACUUCUCGACGUAAUCGCCCUGCAGACGUACACAUUUUUCACAACGCUGACGCCAUGAUUCCAUGGCAGCGGCGAAGGCUUCUUUAGGAGUCUGUUUUGACCACUGGAAAAUCGCUGAGGCAAUAGCAGCACGGGUGGUGAAUGUGCGACCACGGAGAGUGUCUUUCAUUGUUGGAAAAAGCCAAAAGUCACUAGGAGCCAGGUCAGGUGAGUAGGGAGCAUGAGGAACCACUUCAAAGUUGUUAUCACGAAGAAACUGUUGCGUAACGUUAGCUCGAUGUGCGGGUGCGUUGUCUUGGUGAAACAGCACACGCACAGCGCUUCCCGGACGUUUUUGUUGCAGUGCAGGAAGGAAUUUGUUCUUCAAAACAUUUUCGUAGGAUGCACCUGUUACCGUAGUGCCCUUUGAAACGCAGUGGGUAAGGAUUACGCCCUCGCUGUCCCAGAACAUGGACACCAUCAUUUUUUCAGCACUGGCGGUUACCCGAAAUUUUUUUGGUGGCGGUGAAUCUGUGUGCUUCCAUUGAGCUGACUGGCGCUUUGUUCCUGGAUUGAAAAAUGGCAUCCACGUCUCAUCCAUUGUCACAACCGACGAAAAGAAAGUCCCAUUCAUGCUGUCGUUGUGCGUCAACAUUGCUUGGCAACAUGCCACACGGGCAGCCAAGUGGUCCUCUGUCAGCAUUCGUGGCACCCACCUGGAUGACACUUUUCGCAUUUUCAGGUCGUCAUGCAGGAUUGUGUGCACAGAACCCACAGAAAUGCCAACUCUGGAGGCGAUCUGUUCAACAGUCAUUCGGCGAUCCCCCAAAACAAUUCUCUCCACUUUCUCGAUCAUGUCGUCAGACCGGCUUGUGCGAGCCCGAGGUUGUUUCGGUUUGUUGUCACACGAUGUUCUGCCUUCAUUAAACUGUCGCACCCACGAAUGCAGUUUCGACACAUCCAUAACUCCAUCACCACAUGUCUCCUUCAACUGUCGAUGAAUUUCAAUUGGUUUCACACCAUGCAAAUUCAGAAAACGAAUGACUGCACACUGUUCAAGUAAGGAAAACGUCGCCAUUUUAAGUAUUUAAAACCUCAUUCUUGCCGCUGGCGGUAAAAUUCCAUCUGCCGUACAGUGCUGCCAUCUCUGGGACGUAUUGACAAUGAAUGCGGCCUCAUUUUAAAACAAUGCGCAUGUUUCUAUCUCUUUCCAGUCCGGAGAAAAAAAAUCGGAGGCCUUCGAACUUGAAUGCACCUCGUAUACCUAUUUACUAUGAUUAUGUACACUUGUGGCAUUGCAUUUGCAUUUUUGUAAGUGAAUUAUGAUCGUCUUCAUCUUAUGUUGCAUAUAAUUUGUAGCACAAAGUGUCAGAUAUUUCGAC